rfam:Myotis brandtii contig263308, whole genome shotgun sequence.
GUGCUCACUUUGGCAGCAUGUAUACUAAAAUGGGAAUGACAAAGAGAAGAUUAGCAUGGCCGCUGAUCAAGGAUGACACACAAAUUGUGAAGUGUUCCAUAUUAAA